CCUACGGGAGGCAGCAGUGGGGAAUCUUGCGCAAUGGGCGAAAGCCUGACGCAGCAACGCCGCGUGCGGGAAGAAGGCUUUCGGGCUGUAAACCGCUUUCAGCAGGAACGAAAAUGACGGUACCUGCAGAAGAAGGAGCGGCCAACUAUGUGCCAGCAGCCGCGGUGAUACAUAGGCUUCAAGCGUUGUCCGGAUUUAUUGGGCGUAAAGAGUUCGUAGGCGGUCGAGUAAGUCGGGUGUGAAAAUUCUGGGCUCAACCCAGAGACGCCACCCGAUACUGCUUAACUUGAGUUCGAUAGGGGAGUGGGGAAUUCCUAGUGUAGCGGUGAAAUGCGCAGAUAUUAGGAGGAACACCGGUGGCGAAGGCGCCACUCUGGAUCGAUACUGACGCUGAGGAACGAAAGCAUGGGUAGCAAACAGGAUUAGAUACCCUGGUAGUCCAUGCCGUAAACGGUGGGCACUAGGUGUGGGAUUCUAUUAACGAAUUCCGCGCCGUCGCUAACGCAUUAAGUGCCCCGCCUGGGGGAGGUACGGUCGCGAGACGUAAACGUAACGUAAGAAGUUAAGUACGGCGUUGAGUACGUUGCCGACGGCGACGACGAGGGAGGAGG
rnacentral:rRNA from 1 species